rnacentral:misc_RNA from 1 species
AGCACUGAAAGAGAGAGAGCGACAGGCGUUUCUCUAGAUGUGGAAGUCAUAUGUUAAAUUUUUUGUUGACUUCAUAAUGAAAAAACGUGGAAUCCAAAACUAUUCUAAACUGUUUUGAAUACAACUGUUAAUUGUAUUCCUGCUUGAAUAGGUACUUUAGUUCGUAAAAGGUCACCACGUAAGUUUAGGAAUUUUGGACAUUAAACUGACAUCGAAGACUGAAGAUUACAUUUUUAAAAGGGCACAAAUAUACCUCUGGUGGCUGUGAAUAAACUGUAUUUUAGAAAUAAUAAUUUAACGAUCUGUACCAUGGCCAUGGAAUGUCCAACCCCAGACUGCUUGGAUGGGCCAGUUUUCGUUCUAACUGUUCUUACAGUAAACACGUCCGACAAUACAUCUUCUAACAGCUCUACAGAAGAAGAUGAAAUAGAAUACUACUAUUUUUACAAGACGGAACAAAUCACCUUUAUGUGGGUUAUUUUUACGAUGAUUGUCGUUGGUAACAGUUCUGUCCUGGUGACAUUGUUGAUGUCGAAAAAUAGAAAGUCCCGGAUGAACUUCUUCAUAAUGCACCUAGCUCUUGCAGACUUGUCCGUGGGUUUGGUCCAGGUUUUGGCAGAUGUUAUCUGGAGGAUGACGGUGGACUUUUAUGGUGGAAGAAUUGUCUGUAAGCUUGUCCGUUAUUUACAGGUAAUGGUAACCUAUUCCUCAACGUAUAUGUUGGUCGCUCUAAGCAUAGAUCGUUAUAACGCAAUUACCCACCCAAUGAAGUUUCGAGGAAGUUGGAAGCGAGCUAGGAUCCUGGUAGUAUCUGCAUGGGGAGUCAGUACACUAGCCUCCAUCCCAGCCAUAUUUCUAAACGAAGACUUGGUAAUCAAAGGUCGAGUACAGUGCUGGAUUGACCUCAGUCCGUGGCAAUGGAAGGCCUACUUGAUGCUUGUAGCGCUGUCUUUAUUCUUCUUCCCAGCCCUGAUUAUUUCUACUUGUUACAGUGUGAUUGUGUACACUAUCUGGAACAAAAGCAAAGCCAUGGGUUAUCCAAAGAUUCAGAAUAAUUCCAUUCUUUCAAAACCAGGAAGCACCGUACGACAAAACGCUUCCAUUGACAGUGAUAUAGACAGUAGAAGAGCGAGUUCAAGAGGAAUAAUCCCAAAAGCAAAAAUAAAAUCUGUGAAGAUGACCCUUGUGAUAGUCUUUGUAUUCAUCCUUUGUUGGAGUCCCUACUUCAUAUAUGACUUGCUUCAAGUCUACGGGUUCAUUCCCAUCAACCAGACUCUAAUCGCUAUCUCAACGUUUAUUCAGGCGUUAGCUCCACUCAAUAGUGCCGCAAACCCUAUUAUCUACUGCUUCUUCUCCAGCCCUCCCUGUAAGAACUUCAAGAAAGUAAAGAAAAACUCCACCUUAAACGUAGGAAGCAGGAAGGCAGAACAUUUGCUGAAGUCUGACACUGCACAUUCAACAAGACAACAACUCAAGACUCACACUUAAAAGACGAAACAGAAACAGGAGAUGAAUGUGACGAAAGUUCGAGAAAAACGAGUUUCUAUGCAAAUUCGUACUCGUUAUUCAAACAGUGAAUUGCGACAGCUUUGACCGAAAACACGAUGGUUAUAGUGACGUCGCUCCCUGUUCGUAUAUACUACCGUAGGUUUACUUGUAGUAACGUCAUUUGACUCCGUUCAUCAGGCUCAACCAAAUCAUACUCAAUAAUAUUUGAAGUGGAGAGGUUAUCACAUUUUAAUUCUCUUUAAAUUUACAUUUUUCACUAGUGAUAUAUACUUGUUACGUGUGAGCACCAACUUUCAUUAUGUAUCCUCUUUAACAGACCGCAAAUAAACACAUUUGUGUUUCAACUAUUUUCGUGAUACCUAAGAAUAAGGAUAAAACAAAAUAAAUUAUUAAGAUAACGUGGGGAUUGAAGAUAGAUCCUUGAGUGGAAAGGAGUUUAAAGGCAGAGACAAGAAAAAUAUUACGCCCAAACUGUAAUGUUAAAACUGAUGACGAACACGAAACCUAUAUUAUGUGGCUUGAAAUUAAAUUUUCUGAAUAAAAUGUCUUAACCCUCUCAUGUGCGCCUCUCAUUUGUUUGUGAUUUGGGGUGCUUUUUUGUAUUAAUAACGUUAGCAAAAUAUCCUUUUUCGUAUGGGUACUAUAUAUAUAAUUAAAACAUGUCUCUGGUGGUAUUAUCGCAUUUCUUGUUAUGA